GGUUAAGCGACUAAGCGUACACGGUGGAUGCCCUGGCAGUCAGAGGCGAUGAAGGACGUGCUAAUCUGCGAUAAGCGUCGGUAAGGUGAUAUGAACCGUUAUAACCGGCGAUUUCCGAAUGGGGAAACCCAGUGUGAUUCGUCACACUAUCAUUAACUGAAUCCAUAGGUUAAUGAGGCGAACCGGGGGAACUGAAACAUCUAAGUACCCCGAGGAAAAGAAAUCAACCGAGAUUCCCCCAGUAGCGGCGAGCGAACGGGGAGCAGCCCAGAGCCUGAAUCAGUGUGUGUGUUAGUGGAAGCGUCUGGAAAGGCGUGCGAUACAGGGUGACAGCCCCGUACACAAAAAUGCACAUAUUGUGAGCUCGAUGAGUAGGGCGGGACACGUGGUAUCCUGUCUGAAUAUGGGGGGACCAUCCUCCAAGGCUAAAUACUCCUGACUGACCGAUAGUGAACCAGUACCGUGAGGGAAAGGCGAAAAGAACCCCGGCGAGGGGAGUGAAAAAGAACCUGAAACCGUGUACGUACAAGCAGUGGGAGCACGCUUAGGCGUGUGACUGCGUACCUUUUGUAUAAUGGGUCAGCGACUUAUAUUCUGUAGCAAGGUUAACCGAAUAGGGGAGCCGAAGGGAAACCGAGUCUUAACUGGGCGUUAAGUUGCAGGGUAUAGACCCGAAACCCGGUGAUCUAGCCAUGGGCAGGUUGAAGGUUGGGUAACACUAACUGGAGGACCGAACCGACUAAUGUUGAAAAAUUAGCGGAUGACUUGUGGCUGGGGGUGAAAGGCCAAUCAAACCGGGAGAUAGCUGGUUCUCCCCGAAAGCUAUUUAGGUAGCGCCUCGUGAAUUCAUCUCCGGGGGUAGAGCACUGUUUCGGCAAGGGGGUCAUCCCGACUUACCAACCCGAUGCAAACUGCGAAUACCGGAGAAUGUUAUCACGGGAGACACACGGCGGGUGCUAACGUCCGUCGUGAAGAGGGAAACAACCCAGACCGCCAGCUAAGGUCCCAAAGUCAUGGUUAAGUGGGAAACGAUGUGGGAAGGCCCAGACAGCCAGGAUGUUGGCUUAGAAGCAGCCAUCAUUUAAAGAAAGCGUAAUAGCUCACUGGUCGAGUCGGCCUGCGCGGAAGAUGUAACGGGGCUAAACCAUGCACCGAAGCUGCGGCAGCGACGCUUAUGCGUUGUUGGGUAGGGGAGCGUUCUGUAAGCCUGCGAAGGUGUGCUGUGAGGCAUGCUGGAGGUAUCAGAAGUGCGAAUGCUGACAUAAGUAACGAUAAAGCGGGUGAAAAGCCCGCUCGCCGGAAGACCAAGGGUUCCUGUCCAACGUUAAUCGGGGCAGGGUGAGUCGACCCCUAAGGCGAGGCCGAAAGGCGUAGUCGAUGGGAAACAGGUUAAUAUUCCUGUACUUGGUGUUACUGCGAAGGGGGGACGGAGAAGGCUAUGUUGGCCGGGCGACGGUUGUCCCGGUUUAAGCGUGUAGGCUGGUUUUCCAGGCAAAUCCGGAAAACUAAGGCUGAGGCGUGAUGACGAGGCACUACGGUGCUGAAGCAACAAAUGCCCUGCUUCCAGGAAAAGCCUCUAAGCAUCAGGUAACAUCAAAUCGUACCCCAAACCGACACAGGUGGUCAGGUAGAGAAUACCAAGGCGCUUGAGAGAACUCGGGUGAAGGAACUAGGCAAAAUGGUGCCGUAACUUCGGGAGAAGGCACGCUGAUAUGUAGGUGAAGUCCCUCGCGGAUGGAGCUGAAAUCAGUCGAAGAUACCAGCUGGCUGCAACUGUUUAUUAAAAACACAGCACUGUGCAAACACGAAAGUGGACGUAUACGGUGUGACGCCUGCCCGGUGCCGGAAGGUUAAUUGAUGGGGUUAGCGCAAGCGAAGCUCUUGAUCGAAGCCCCGGUAAACGGCGGCCGUAACUAUAACGGUCCUAAGGUAGCGAAAUUCCUUGUCGGGUAAGUUCCGACCUGCACGAAUGGCGUAAUGAUGGCCAGGCUGUCUCCACCCGAGACUCAGUGAAAUUGAACUCGCUGUGAAGAUGCAGUGUACCCGCGGCAAGACGGAAAGACCCCGUGAACCUUUACUAUAGCUUGACACUGAACAUUGAGCCUUGAUGUGUAGGAUAGGUGGGAGGCUUUGAAGUGUGGACGCCAGUCUGCAUGGAGCCGACCUUGAAAUACCACCCUUUAAUGUUUGAUGUUCUAACGUUGACCCGUAAUCCGGGUUGCGGACAGUGUCUGGUGGGUAGUUUGACUGGGGCGGUCUCCUCCUAAAGAGUAACGGAGGAGCACGAAGGUUGGCUAAUCCUGGUCGGACAUCAGGAGGUUAGUGCAAUGGCAUAAGCCAGCUUGACUGCGAGCGUGACGGCGCGAGCAGGUGCGAAAGCAGGUCAUAGUGAUCCGGUGGUUCUGAAUGGAAGGGCCAUCGCUCAACGGAUAAAAGGUACUCCGGGGAUAACAGGCUGAUACCGCCCAAGAGUUCAUAUCGACGGCGGUGUUUGGCACCUCGAUGUCGGCUCAUCACAUCCUGGGGCUGAAGUAGGUCCCAAGGGUAUGGCUGUUCGCCAUUUAAAGUGGUACGCGAGCUGGGUUUAGAACGUCGUGAGACAGUUCGGUCCCUAUCUGCCGUGGGCGCUGGAGAACUGAGGGGGGCUGCUCCUAGUACGAGAGGACCGGAGUGGACGCAUCACUGGUGUUCGGGUUGUCAUGCCAAUGGCACUGCCCGGUAGCUAAAUGCGGAAGAGAUAAGUGCUGAAAGCAUCUAAGCACGAAACUUGCCCCGAGAUGAGUUCUCCCUGACUCCUUGAGAGUCCUGAAGGAACGUUGAAGACGACGACGUUGAUAGGCCGGGUGUGUAAGCGCAGCGAUGCGUUGAGCUAACCGGUACUAAUGAACCGUGAGGCUUAACCUU
rnacentral:rRNA from 1 species